GAUGAACGCUGGCGGCGUGCCUAAUACAUGCAAGUCGAGCGAACGGACGAGAAGCUUGCUUCUCUGAUGUUAUCGGCGGACGGGUGAGUAACACGUGGAUAACCUACCUAUAAGACUGGGAUAACUUCGGGAAACCGGAGCUAAUACCGGAUAAUAUUUUGAACCGCAUGGUUCAAAAGUGAAAGACGGUCUUGCUGUCACUUAUAGAUGGAUCCGCGCUGCAUUAGCUAGUUGGUAAGGUAACGGCUUACCAAGGCAACGAUGCAUAGCCGACCUGAGAGGGUGAACGGCCACACUGGAACUGAGACACGGUCCAGACUCCUACGGGAGGCAGCAGUAGGGAAUCUUCCGCAAUGGGCGAAAGCCUGACGGAGCAACGCCGCGUGAGUGAUGAAGGUCUUCGGAUCGUAAAACUCUGUUAUUAGGGAAGAACAUAUGUGUAAGUAACUGUGCACAUCUUGACGGUACCUAAUCAGAAAGCCACGGCUAACUACGUG
rnacentral:rRNA from 1 species